CAGGAUGAUAUGUUCAAGUUCAUUUCAUUUGCCUAUGAAUUUCACGAAGUCAUUGUUUUUGAUAGCCGAGUAGUACUCCAUUGUAUAGAAGUACCACAUUUUUUUAAUCCAUUCCCCUGUUGAAGGGCAUCUGGGUUCUUCCCAGCUUCUGGCUAUUAUAAACAAGGCUGCUAUAAAUAUAGUGGAGCACGUGUCUUUGUUAUAUGUUGGGGCAUCUUUUGGUAUAUGCCCGAGAGAGGUAUAGCUGGGUCCUCAGGUAGUGUAAUGUUCAAUUUUCUGAGGAACCUCCAGACUGAUUUCCAGAAUGGUUGUACCAGUUUGCAAUCCCACCAACAAUGGAGGAGUGUUCCUCUUUCUCCACAUCCUUGCCAGCAUCUGCUGUCACCUGAGUUUUUGAUCUUAGCCAUUUUGAUUGAUGUGACGUGGAAUCUCAGGGUUGUUUUGAUUUGCAUUUCCCUGAUGACUAAGGAUGUUGAACAUUUCUUUAGGUGCUUCUCAGCCAUUCGAUAUUCUUCAGAUGAGAAUAUUUUUUUAGCUCUGUACCCCAUUUUUUAAUAGGGUUAUUUGGCUCUCUGGAGUUCACCCUCUUAUCUGAAUACGCACAAAACAAAUGGAUAAAAACAGGAGGCAA
rnacentral:lncRNA from 1 species